UCCUCUUCAGCAUCCUCACUCUGCCACUAGACAUGAGCUAAAGGAUAUGACUCUGUAUACGGCAGCUCUUAUGGCCCUAGUGCAAACUUGAGGUACCAAUAGCUCCCUUCCCUCUGCCAAGUGGGUUCUGCUUCCCCAGCAAGCUAGAAAAAGAGCUGAAAUUAUGAAUUUAUGAAUGGCCUACAAUUUUUCAGGUUAUCUCUCCCUGUACGUCGCAUCUGAGCUAAAUACCAGCCCCGUGGCAAGGCAGCUGAAUGACAUGUUUGCACUUAGGCAGUGAUUCAUGAACUGACCCCCAGAGGAAACCAUCAGGAACACGCUCCGUCACGCUCCCUCUGGAGGAAAGCUCGUGUUUCUUUUCCUCUUCCCAUGGCACCGCAAGACCUUGAUGCCAGAGGCUGUCUUCACCAAAUGCAGAGAAAUAGGCUUUGGGUUAGGCUGUAAGGGCCUCAUCUUCUACCCAUCGAUGCCAAUGGGAAACCUCUCACUGGCUUCUGGAGCUACUGGGGCAGGUCCUGAACAACUACCCAAGGACAAGACUAAGGCCAGAAUGAUCAGCUUGGUGGUUUUAAAAGGGCAGCCAAAGGAUGCAUCUCUGCAGUGUGUUUCCCAGCCCAGACCAAGAGGUGCCAAGCUUCGAAAAUCAGGCAACAUAUUUAAGCAGUUUAUUUACGCCCCUGAGGACUCUGGCUUGGAAAAUAACUGUGAGAGUCUGUAGUGAGACAGGGACUGAAGGCAAGUGCUGCCAUCCCACCUGACUUCUCACCUCGCUCCUAGAUGCCCACCUUC